CAGUAGCCGCGGUAAUACCGAGGGUGCGAGCGUUAAUCGGAUUUACUGGGCGUAAAGCGUGCGUAGGCGGCUUUUUAAGUCGGAUGUGAAAUCCCUGAGCUUAACUUAGGAAUUGCAUUCGAUACUGGGAAGCUAGAGUAUGGGAGAGGAUGGUAGAAUUCCAGGUGUAGCGGUGAAAUGCGUAGAGAUCUGGAGGAAUACCGAUGGCGAAGGCAGCCAUCUGGCCUAAUACUGACGCUGAGGUACGAAAGCAUGGGGAGCAAACAGGAUUAGAUACCCCAGUAGUCCCUGUCUCUUAUAU
rnacentral:rRNA from 1 species